GAUGAACGCUAGCUACAGGCUUAACACAUGCAAGUCGAGGGGAAACGGCAUUGAGUGCUUGCACUCUUUGGACGUCGACCGGCGCACGGGUGAGUAACGCGUAUCCAACCUUCCCAUUACUGUGGGAUAACCUGCCGAAAGGCAGACUAAUACCGCAUAGUCUUCGAUGACGGCAUCAGAUUUGAAGUAAAGAUUUAUCGGUAAUGGAUGGGGAUGCGUCUGAUUAGCUUGUUGGCGGGGUAACGGCCCACCAAGGCUACGAUCAGUAGGGGUUCUGAGAGGAAGGUCCCCCACAUUGGAGCUGAGACACGGUCCAAACUCCUACGGGAGGCAGCAGUGAGGAAUAUUGGUCAAUGGACGGAAGUCUGAACCAGCCAAGUAGCGUGCAGGAUGACGGCCCUAUGGGUUGUAAACUGCUUUUGUAUGGGGAUAAAGUUAGGGACGUGUCCCUAUUUGCAGGUACCAUACGAAUAAGGACCGGCUAAUUCCGUG
rnacentral:rRNA from 1 species